GGAUAUAGCUCAGUGGUAGAGCGUGUGCUUAACAUGGUCCUGGGUUCAAUCCCCAGUACCGCCG
rnacentral:tRNA from 1 species